GUAUUGAUGAAGAGUCCCAAACUAGGACGAAACAGCUGUUCAGUAC
rfam:Trichobilharzia regenti genome assembly, scaffold: TRE_scaffold0087035